AGACUGACACAGGAAGUGAGCUAUCUCAAUUUUUGAUCCAGCGAUUUGGACAUACUGCUUCCCCAAGUUCCCACCCUCCACCUCUGCCCACAUCAUUAGAGAACAGAGGAGGAUCUUCUCUGAGCUGCUUCCAAGGAACAGGCAGAUGAAGGCCCCAUUGUGGUUCCAGCUGCCUGCCUGGGAAAUGAAAGCAUCUUUGCCUCUAGAAAAUCCUGGUUAGAAUCUGCAUCUCUAAUUCCCCUGGGAAUGAAGAAACACCAAGCAGAGGGCCUCUAUGGUGGGUAAACGAAACCCAACUCAUCUGAAAAUCACUCCAUCUCCUCCCCUUCUUCUUGGUGUUUAGUGUAGGCAAACAGCCCAGGUCAUCACCACAUGGCUUUCAUUUUUUGUUUUUUCUGUUUUUUUUUUACUUAAGAAGAGAAAAAUGGUCUAAAUGAGGACAGAAAUUCUCCAUAUCAAUGGUUGAGUUCCUAAGGUCUCUUGUCGCUGAAAGUGGCCAGAUGAACUUCAGGCAGAUUAUAAGUGAGCAAAAGGAUCGUGUAGACUGUGUGGGUUUGAGGGAGGCUGUUUAGAUAGAGUAGAUGCAGCUGAGUUGGCCCUUUGACUCUUCCUCUUUCCUCCUUCCUGCCUCAGAGGUGAACUCAUGGAGGCAGAUCAAGUCCCGUGCUCCAGCAGCCAUUUUGGACCA